ensembl:snRNA U6 U6 spliceosomal RNA
GCACUCCUUUGGCAGCACAAAUGCUAAAAUUGGAACAGUGCAGAGAAGAUUAGCAUGGCCCCUCAUGCAAAGAUGACAUGCAAAUUCAUGAAGCGUUCCAUAUUUUU